CAGUGGCCCAUUUUUUUCCUUUUUUUUAAUCAAACUAUCCCUUCAGAGCCAAUCCCCGCCGUCCCAGUGAUCCCUGUAAACCGGAUGCCCUCCUGUCUGUCCCCUCAGACGCACGCAAUCCGUGGAUCGGGGAGGCAGGAAGGCGCGCCGUCGGUGCGGAGCUGCGGGGCUCGGACGGAGGGUGAUGGGAGUGAAAAGCAGCUUCUGGUCCAAACCCGAAAAAUGAUAUUAAUAAUAAUUAAUAAAGAAAAGAAAAGAGCUGCGUGAAAACACCUCGACUGGACCGUGAACCCGGCUGUUUUCGACAUGAAGAGAGGAUGGAGAGGACGGAGUCUUAUGCUGCUGCGUCACAUUUUCAUCCGAAGAUUUGAGUUCCUGUGAACACCGAGGUGGUGGCACUGCCACAAAGCAGAUAUUCACAGCUCAUGUUCGAGCUUAAAACACACCUAGUUGUACUUUUGUGUGUAACAUAAAUCAGAGUUGUCACUGCCCCGCGGACAGGACGCUCGUUCUGCCGCUGUCUUGUGUCAUCAAGUUGCUCCCGGUUAUGUUGUGCAACCUGACCUCUGUGGUCCUGAGCGGAUUCUGUGCCCCUGUCGUCCCUGUCAGAUCGGCUCACCCCUCCCCCACCUCCCCCCGCCUGCCUCGGUGAACAUUCAACGCUGUCGGUGAGUUUGGUAUGAAUUGCACAAAAAACCAUCGACCGUUGACUGUGCCCCGUGGCUCGCUCUGGUCGACGUCAGGACUUGGACCGACAGGAGGGGCGAGCGGGCGCCGCGUGCAAAUGCGAAACACAGGAAAGCACCCGCACACAAGCGCCAUACUUGUUUCCCCCACUGUACCCAAAGAGCAAAGGUCACAAUCAACAUUCAUUGCUGUCGCUGGGUUGGACUCUGUAGAAAAGCUCACUGAACAAUGAGUGCAACUGUGGCCCAGAUCUGCCUGACUCGCAUCUCAGCCAAUCAGACCACCGGAUGUGAAGCACUCUGAUUUCUUUAUUUAUAUACUUCUUGUUUUUCACGUCUGUUCCCUCGCCCUCCCCUCGCCCUCUCCAGAGCUGGGAGUUUUGAAGAGGAAGAGGGAGAGAUAGGCGCACAAAUAGACUUCUGGCUGCUUCGCUUGUCCUCAUCCUCUCCUCUCCUCUAAUUGAUGGUUAUGUGUGCAGCAAGGGGGAAGGAAGCAGAGUGAAUGUGUAAUCAUUUAGAGUCUCCUCUCCUUUAGAUGUUUCAUCCCUCUCUUUUUUGUUUGUCUAAUUAUAUAGGAAGCUCAGUUAACUGUGUGUCUGUGCUGGCAGGAAAGACGGACUGGCAGAGAGGGGAGGACAAAGGAAGGGAAAAGGUUCGAAGAUUACAGCUCUAGAARCAUUUGGAUCCCGUUUUGAGUUGAUUUCCUGCAGUUUUACGAUAUAAUGCAAUACAAUAGUUAUCAGAUCAUAUGGUUUUGUAUUGAAUUGUGUUUGUAUUUUGCAUUUUCCACUGUAGAAAGACCAUUAUUGGAAGGUUUUUGAUGGAGGUUGUCCCAUUACGUGCAUUUGAAUUUCAUGAGAGACCGUCUGCCUGUCCUUGUGUGUGUGUAUUGUGUGUGUUAGCGUGUGCACACGCUCUUUGAUAGAGGAUGUGUCUGCUGAUCUCUGGGUGCAAUAUGUUAUUUUCCUUCUGUACUAAAGCUGCUUCUCUCAUGGGGAAAAGCACUUUAAAACCUCGACUUCCUUUGCAGUCGUUGGUCGCAUAACUCUUCAUGUUACCCUUCUGAAUCUCGAGACUUGCUGUAAUAUCUGCAUUUUAACUGAUUUAAACAAUAAAGUUCAAUCCAAACCAAA